UUAGACUGGUUGAAGUUAUUAAGGAGAACUUGCUGUUGGCAUCUCAAAAGGCUGAUUACCCGUGGGUUCGAUGAUGGCAUCUAUGAGACAAACACAGAGCUAGAAGAGCACUGCAUGCUAGAACCCUGCAAGAAAAGAAGAAAGGUCUCAUCAGCCUGUGGUCUCAACUAGCAGAACUGUCACGCUUUCUCAAGCACACAUUGCAGUUUUCUGAGUUAUCCAUGUUAGAAGAUGACUUCCAUGGCAUGAAAUCAUUUUGAAUAACCUGGUUGUUGCACUGAGCUACGUCUAGACUGAUAAUGAUGUUGAGAACUGCUUCAUAUACAUGAACUCUGCAAGGAUAGCUGUUGCAAUAGAGACUGUGCUCACUUGCCACUCUUGAGGACAGACCAGGAUAAGAACCUUUGAGAUUCUCCAUCAGUGGGACACUUGAACACAAAUGCAGCAUCCCAUCUCUGUAUGUGAUAUUACUACAGGAAACUGAGUGUUUGAAGAAAGAAGAGGAUUUUAAUCUGUUCCAAAAUGAGAACUGUUACCAUUCUGUUUUGUAUGGCUUGUCUUUUGGGAGUAAUAUAAAUGUAUCACACUUUGAAAAGUCUGUAACUCCAUAAUAAUAAAGGGAAUUUUUAAUAUUUGCA
rnacentral:lncRNA from 1 species